AAUCAAAGAAAGACUUGACUGUGAGAAAUUGACUGGUUCAAAAGCCAUCUUCCUGACCAUGAAGCAGUAGGCCAAGUGAAAUUAGUAAAAAGUCUGUGUUCAGAAAGAAGUACAUCAUUGUUUGGCUCCAUUGCUACUGCUUCUGCCUUCACCUCCAUCAGUUUCUUCCUUGCACCUGUAAUUAGUGGGAGAAAAGGAAUGGAAAGCAGAAGAUUCAACCCAACUUUCAAGGUAACUAAUUUCCUCUUGUUUGUUUGAAUUUAUAGCCAAGUUCAAGAAAGAAAAUAAGAGGAAGAUGGGGAUGUUAGAAAAAUCAAGUCUUUGAAAGAAAUGAAUAAAGGCAAUUGACCAUGGUGGGUUUAUUUGACUGA